UCCAGGCCCAUCCUGCUUCUGCUUCUAACUGUCUGUGAGUCUCCUCACCUGUUAAGCUAAAUGUUGUGGUGGACGAAGGGUGAAUGGCUGCUAAUGAGCUACAAAGCACUCUUACUGGAGGCUGAUGCUGUUACUGCAGUGUGACCACACCGCAAUAGGCAGGUGUAUGAGUGAUUACAUACAUUUGGCUCUGAUCCCUCGCAGUGAGAAACCAAAAUGGUCAUUCUCUGCACAGCUCAUGUAACUCUCAUCAGGAACACGGUCAAAUAAGCCCAUUAUUAUGCUGUCCAAACCACUCCAGAGGAGCACAUGUAUCCCAGCUCAUCAAUCUCAGCACGCAGUGGAGAUCAACACAGAGUACAGCUCAGUCGGCCCAUCCUGGCCGUUCAGAGCAAACGGGGCAUGUAAUUAUCUGGAGCCAUCUCAGGAGGUCGGCUGGGAUUUGGGGAAUGUGUCCCCCUCCUCCACAUCCCUGUUCUUUUCACCUUUCAACCCCAUCGUUCUUCUCAGCAUAAGGGCAUUUCUUCAGCUGGAGGAUCACACUGUCACACCAGAGUGGACAAGACUGGCCGUUCGGUGUCCAUCUCUGUGAUUGUCAAGGCGUGGCCAUCAUGACAAGGCGUUCUUACAAAGCUGCACUCAAGUUAAAAGAAGUUCCAAAGACAUGUCUCUAGACCUUCCUUCCACUGCCCAACAUCUAGUAUUCUUCAAUGCUGAAACGUGUUGAAAGUCCUUUAAAUUGGCAUGGUACUUUGAAAUUAGUUCAGCUAUUGUAUUUAAAUCUGAACGCAGGAUUCAAAAAUGUUUUA